CUGUCUUCUCACCUGCGGGCGCAAUGGGCAUGCUCGUUCUUUAAGACGCCGUGGGACCUCACCUGUGCGUCUUGUGACGUCAAAACCAACAGUUUUUGGUUACUGAGAAGUUUGAGAACCUUGCAGAGGUCUUAAAGAUCGGGAAAAGGUCCCCAAGCUCUCCCAAGACACGUCUGGAAAAGUUCUAGGUAAACCCGGAAGUAACAGGAAAGGAAUCUAGCUGGCCUUAGUGCAUCAGGUGUCACCGGGCAGGUUCUGCAUGUAGCACGGUCUGCCUAUGGACGAGACAGUAGGGGACGGUAAAGAGAAGAAAGAGGCGGCGCUGGUGAGGGCUGCAGAGAAAGGAGACACGGACAGAGUAAAGCAGCUGUUAGCGGAGGGAGUCAACCCUAAUGCUGCAGG